CCUACGGGAGGCAGCAGUAGGGAAUCUUCCGCAAUGGACGAAAGUCUGACGGAGCAACGCCGCGUGAGUGAUGAAGGCUUUCGGGUCGUAAAACUCUGUUGUUAGGGAAGAACAAGUGCUAGUUGAAUAAGCUGGCACCUUGACGGUACCUAACCAGAAAGCCACGGCUAACUACGUGCCAGCAGCCGCGGUAAUA
rnacentral:rRNA from 1 species